UGAGAAAUGAAUAUUUCUAAAAAUGUGAAAGGCCAUCCAAAGUGGCUAUUUAAAAAGUAAGAGAAUGGUCAAUGAACAGGUAAAGUGUGUUAAGAACAGUAAGGGGAAAACUAAAUAAAAAACAUGAGUUCCUGACAAGGUCUUUAUCUAUGGUAUGUGUUUAAUUAUUACAUCUUGAGCCAGCUACAGUACGUAACAGCAAGCAAACAAAACCAAAUGUAUAUAUCAAUAGCAUACCAAUUAUACUGAUAAAUUGCAGACAAAGGUAGCAAAACAAAGAUUUAAAAUUUCUCAGGUCUCCAGUCCUCCAGUACACCUGACAUAUCACCUAAAGACUUUUAACUAUUUGUAGUUUUGAAACAAACACUCAGAGAAUGACAUUUGGCCAACAAUGAUGAAAACAUAGUAAAGGGAUUUGUUUUUUGGCCUUAUUUCAUAGCCAGUUUGGAAAAAGUGUGACAAAAACACUUAAAACUGUAAAACAGAAAAACUGGCAACUGUAGCCUCAAGUAUUCAAAAUGUUUUACCCAUCAGGUGGAGACACUGUGACUCCCUACAUGAAAUUUUAAAAAAGUAUAUUUUACUGGAAUGUUCCAAACAACAAAACCAAAAAAUGUAAGUGUGUGAGCCACAAGUCAUGCCUAAUUAUUUACUCAAAACAUGUGUUACUUUUCCUUCAAUAUUUGUUUUCCCAUUUGUCACAAAUCUCUGUCCCUACAUUAGACAAUGCAGACCUGAACAACAUCCCAUUUUCCAGUUU